rnacentral:rRNA from 1 species
CCUACGGGUGGCUGCAGUGGGGAAUAUUGGACAAUGGGCGAAAGCCUGAUCCAGCCAUGCCGCGUGUGUGAAGAAGGCCUUCGGGUUGUAAAGCACUUUCAGUGGGGAAGAAAGCCUUGGGGCUAAUACCCUCGAGGAAGGACAUCACCCACAGAAGAAGCACCGGCUAACUCCGUGCCAGCAGCCGCGGUAGUACGGAGGGUGCGAGCGUUAAUCGGAAUUACUGGGCGUAAAGCGCGCGUAGGCGGUCUGAUAAGCCGGUUGUGAAAGCCCCGGGCUCAACCUGGGAACGGCAUCCGGAACUGUCAGGCUAGAGUGCAGGAGAGGAAGGUAGAAUUCCCGGUGUAGCGGUGAAAUGCGUAGAGAUCGGGAGGAAUACCAGUGGCGAAGGCGGCCUUCUGGACUGACACUGACGCUGAGGUGCGAAAGCGUGGGUAGCAAACAGGAUUAGAUACCCUAGUAGUC